ensembl:lncRNA
GUUCAUCCCAAAUAAAGCAGCAGCGGGGUUUUUUCGGCCAGUGUCCUGAGCCGCGGGCUAAUGGAGUUGUUUUCAUGAAGUGAAGGAGGGCGGCCUGUCAAGGAGGCGGAGCCGCGACGUCGGCUCGUCGAGACGCCGCUACCGCCCGAAGGGGGCGGAGCCUGCGAGGAGAAUCAUAACAAGUCUGACGUCACUUGGCCUUGUGCAACGGUUUUAAUCUUGCGGGGAACUCUCUGCGGCUACUCUGGUGAAUCUUCUCUUCAUUGUUGACUUUGACACAAAUACACCUUCUGGAGAGCGUAUUUGAUCUGGCCAACUGCCGUGAAGGGGUUUUCUUUAUGUAAAUAAUUCUUUGAUCAUGAACCAUUUUGUUUUUUCUGGUCUUCAGAGAGGUUUUCCUGAGCUCACCGUUGCUUUCUUUCUUAUUAAGAACGUACCAACAGUUAAUUUGGCUUUUGGAUAAUUUGGCUUUUUUUACGCCUAAUGAUGGCGUGCGUCACUUUGGACUUAUUGAGACAAAUUGACAGUUGACAGCAACAGGUUUCACAUGGAAAUCCCACACUCAAAACGAACUCUGGACCUUUAUGUGCUCUGAUGUAAUAAAAUAAUGAGGGAAUAACACGCCAUGGAUCAGCUGACCAGCCAUUUUCCUAAAUAUUAUUUUCCCCUUCAAAAGGGGAGGCACCAUGUAUAAAAUGUAUUAUGAUUCAUAUACAGUCCCCUAAUUGGGAGGUAAAUACCCUCACAUUCUGCUGACACACUCGCACUGUAUCUCAUGGAGCAUGUUGGCGGUUCGAGCCCCGGCUGCUUCUCCUUCUUCAGGUUUUUGGGGGGCGACGUAGAGACGGUGCGCCGGUGACCGCAGGGUGGGCGGUUCGAGCCCCGGCUGCUCCAUCUCCCACGUCGAAGUGUCCCCGAGCAAGACACCUCACCUUUAACUGCUCCCCGGGCGCCUUUCCGGUAGCCCUCUGCUCCCAGUGCGUGGAAUGGAAGUGCAGAGAACAAUUUCCUGUAUGUGUAAUAUAAUACUUGGCAAUAAAAAUGGCU